rnacentral:tRNA from 1 species
UGGGAUGUAGUUCAGUGGCACAGCGUCUGUCUGGCAAGUAUGAGGCCCUGAGUUCAAUUUCCAGUAUCACAA